UAGUCUACGCCGUAAACGAUGGAUACUAGUUGUUUGACCUUCGGGUUGAGUGACUAAGCGAAAGUGAUAAGUAUCCCACCUGGGGAGUACGUUCGCAAGAAUGAAACUCAAAGGAAUUGACGGGGGCCCGCACAAGCGGUGGAGCAUGUGGUUUAAUUCGAUGAUACGCGAGGAACCUUACCAGGGCUUAAAUGUAGUCUGACAGCUUUAGAGAUAGAGUUUUCUUCGGACAGAUUACAAGGUGCUGCAUGGUUGUCGUCAGCUCGUGCCGUGAGGUGUCAGGUUAAGUCCUAUAACGAGCGCAACCCCUGUGGUUAGUUGCCAGCGAGUAAUGUCGGGAACUCUAGCCAGACUGCCGGUGCAAACCGUGAGGAAGGUGGGGAUGACGUCAAAUCAUCACGGCCCUUACGUCCUGGGCCACACACGUGCUACAAUGCAACGUACAAAGCGAAGCGAAAUCGCGAGAUCAAGCAAACCGCACAAAACGUUAGCUCAGUUCGGAUUGC
rnacentral:rRNA from 1 species